GCCAGACUCCUACGGGAGGCAGCAGUGGGGAAUAUUGCACAAUGGGGGAAACCCUGAUGCAGCAACGCCGCGUGAGUGAAGAAGUAUUUCGGUAUGUAAAGCCCUAUCGGCAGGGAAGAGGGAGGACGGUACCUGACUAAGAAGCCCCGGCUAACUACGUGCCAGCAGCCGCGGUAAUACGUAGGGGGCAAGCGUUAUCCGGAUUUACUGGGUGUAAAGGGGGCGCAGACGGCAGCGCAAGCCAGGAGUGAAAGCCCGGGGCCCAACCCCGGGACUGCUCUUGGAACUGCGCGGCUGGAGUGCAGAAGGGGCAGGCGGAAUUCCUGGUGUAGCGGUGAAAUGCGUAGAUAUCAGGAGGAACACCGGUGGCGAAGGCGGCCUGCUGGACUGCGACUGACGUUGAGGCCCGAAAGCGUGGGGAGCAAACAGGAUUAGAUACCCUAGUA
rnacentral:rRNA from 1 species